AGAGUUUGAUCAUGGCUCAGGAUGAACGCUAGCGGCAGGCCUAAUACAUGCAAGUCGAACGGCAAGAGUUUUAGCAAUAGAACUUCUAGAGUGGCGAACGGGUGCGUAACGCGUAUGCAACCUACCCUAUACAGGGGGAUAGCCCGGAGAAAUCUGGAUUAAUACCCCAUGGUAUCAUUGAGCUGCAUGGUUUAAUGAUUAAAGAUUCAUCGGUAUAGGAUGGGCAUGCGUCUGAUUAGCUAGUUGGUGAGGUAACGGCUCACCAAGGCGACGAUCAGUAGGGGUUCUGAGAGGAAGGUCCCCCACACUGGCACUGAGAUACGGGCCAGACUCCUACGGGAGGCAGCAGUAGGGAAUAUUGGGCAAUGGACGAGAGUCUGACCCAGCCAUGCCGCGUGCAGGAAGACGGCGUUCUGCGUUGUAAACUGCUUUUAUCUGGGAAGAAAAUGCCCUUGCGAGGGAAAUUGCCGGUACCAGAUGAAUAAGCACCGGCUAACUCCGUGCCAGCAGCCGCGGUAAUACGGAGGGUGCAAGCGUUGUCCGGAUUUAUUGGGUUUAAAGGGUGCGUAGGCGGCUUUUUAAGUCAGUGGUGAAAGUUUUGGGCUCAACCCAGAAACUGCCAUUGAUACUGGGGAGCUUGAGUAUUGGAGGGGUACAUGGAAUUGAUGGUGUAGCGGUGAAAUGCAUAGAUACCAUCAGGAACACCGAUAGCGAAGGCAUUGUACUGGCCAAUAACUGACGCUGAUGCACGAAAGCAUGGGUAGCGAACAGGAUUAGAUACCCUGGUAGUCCAUGCCGUAAACGAUGAUUACUCGCUGUUAUGCCCUUGUGGUGUAGCGGCCAAGCGAAAGCGUUAAGUAUCCACCUGG
rnacentral:rRNA from 1 species